rnacentral:rRNA from 1 species
UACGGGGGAUGCAAGCGUUAUCCGGAUUUACUGGGUGUAAAGGGCGUGUAGGCGGGGAAGCAAGUCAGAUGUGAAAACCACGGGCUCAACCUGUGGCCUGCAUUUGAAACUGUUUUUCUUGAGUGCUGGAGAGGCAAUUGGAAUUCCGUGUGUAGCGGUGAAAUGCGUAGAUAUACGGAGGAACACCAGUGGCGAAGGCGGAUUGCUGGACAGUAACUGACGCUGAGGCGCGAAAGCGUGGGGAGCAAACAGG